rnacentral:rRNA from 1 species
GAAAGGGAAUGGGGUCAAUAUUCCCCAACCCGGACACGGAGAUAGGGCUCUCGGGCCCAAGUGCGGUAACGCAACCGAACUCGGAGAAGUCGACGGAGGACCCGGGGAAGAGUUGUCUUUUCUUUGUAAGGGUUCGUGUCCCUGGAAUCGGCUCGUCCGGAGAUAGGGACGCUGUCCCCGUAAAAGCACCGCGGCUCUUGCGGUGUCCGGUCCGCCUCUGUCGGCCCUUGCAAAUCCGAGGGAGAUGGUGUGAUUUUCGUGCCGGACCGUACCCAUAUCCGCAGCAGGUCUCCAAGGU